ensembl:lncRNA
GCCUGUUGCGAACAUUAAGUGUUUAUAUUGUGUUUAUAUUUCAUUAUGAUUCACGCUCAGGGCUGGACUGGCCAAUGGGCACACCGGGCACUUAAACGUAUCAUUUUGUAAAUGUAUUUCGCUGUCCACACGGCCCCUUAACACCAUUACAGGCCGAACCAGCCGAGGUCACAUCAUGGCCGUACGCAGACGGUCGCGGCCUCACCGUCGCAGCGCAGCCAUGCCGUAGCCUUCCUAGUUCUCCCAUCGGCCCACAGUCGUUUUGGAUGCUGUCUAAAUAAGGCGGACCAGAUCCGUUGCAUUUCGUCCUUAUCAUAACACAUGGAAGGUUGACAGUGGUGUAAGUAGGUCAUUAAACAUAUAAGAAAUAAAUAUUGGUCAAAUUCUACUUUUAUCACAUUUAUGAUUCCAUCACCAGAACAUUUCUAAAAUUUAGUUUUAUUUCGAUCAACAUGAAUCUCCCGAGUCCGAGAGCACAUGCAGUGAUUCAAAUCUUAGUGGCCCAAGGGUCGCCAACUGCAAAGCCAACACUGUUCUGUGGGACCGUGGCCGGUUCAGGUUCAGGUCCAGUCUGGCUCCAAAUGUCCCAGGGCUAGUGGUUUCCUGGCAGUCCUGGAUAUAAGAUCAUACGUGAGAGGGGUGUGGGUAAUUGCUGGCCAAAAAAAGACAUGCCCUUCAGACAGAUGCUGCCAAAUUUGCCAAACUUUAGCAAAGUGGGACACGAGUGCUGAAGAACUUAAUCGGGGCAGGUUCCUCCAGGCACAUCAAAAAACAUGUGCAGAGGAAGAAAAAAACAGGCCUGGCAUUUGGCCUGGACUUGUCCACCUUGGGCUGGGCCGGUCUAGGCCAGAUGCCAGGGCUGUUUUUUUUUUUUUCCUAGUUCAGCCCUUUUCAUGCUAUCCCAUAUAAAUGCCUGAUCCUGAACUGGGUGAAAUGACUCUUUAAAGACAACCAUAUAUCAGCCUAUCCGAGGUGAAUCGUGUAAAGCCACUGCAUGUGCUGCAACAGGUUGAAGACAAGACUAAAUUAUUAUUAUUAUAUGUUCUGAAUUAUAAGGCACUGAAUGCUGUACAUACACCCAAUGUGUACGCAUACGCUUAGUAUGGUUGAUAUUUUAUGGCUACCAAAUCGAAUCUAAUGACGGCUGAAAGACAUGGAUGGGAGCUUCUUUAGAUUGACAUGCUACUUAUUUGAUUAUUUUCAUUAUUUAUCUUGUAUACGGCUACUUAAAGCAGUGUGUUAGACAAGCUUUUGGCUAGGUUAUAUUAUGGAGUGGUGAACCAACACUGUCUGAAGAAAAACAGUGGGGACUGGCUACCAACUCGUGUUUGAUAACCCAUUUUUCUUUUCUUUUUUUUACAAUAUAUGUGCCAUAUAUUCCUUAUAUUCACCUAACUAUUUAUAUUAUAUUGUUUAUGAGCAUUAUCAUGUAACAGUGUUCGGUUCAAAGUGUGUGUGUGUGCGUGCGUGUGUGUGUACAUCAUGCUCCAAUUCAAAACAGUAGUCGGAGCUGCAUGGUAAAUACUCAACAUUGGC